UAGGGUGAACCUGCGGAGGGAUCAUUACCGAGUUUACAACUCCCAAACCCCUGUGAACAUACCAAUUGUUGCCUCGGCGGAUCAGCCCGCUCCCGGUAAAACGGGACGGCCCGCCAGAGGACCCCUAAACUCUGUUUCUAUAUGUAACUUCUGAGUAAAACCAUAAAUAAAUCAAAACUUUCAACAACGGAUCUCUUGGUUCUGGCAUCGAUGAAGAACGCAGCAAAAUGCGAUAAGUAAUGUGAAUUGCAGAAUUCAGUGAAUCAUCGAAUCUUUGAACGCACAUUGCGCCCGCCAGUAUUCUGGCGGGCAUGCCUGUUCGAGCGUCAUUUCAACCCUCAAGCCCCCGGGUUUGGUGUUGGGGAUCGGCGAGCCCUUGCGGCAAGCCGGCCCCGAAAUCUAGUGGCGGUCUCGCUGCAGCUUCCAUUGCGUAGUAGUAAAACCCUCGCAACUGGUACGCGGCGCGGCCAAGCCGUUAAACCCCCAACUUCUGAAUGUUGACCUCGGAUCAGGUAGGAAUACCCGCUGAACUUAAGCAUAUCAAAA
rnacentral:rRNA from 1 species